CCAGGACUCGCCACACCGCAGAGGAAGAUGAAGGUCGCGGUGCUCAGCCUGGCCCUGCUCUUCACCGUCCUGCUGUGCGUGCCAGAAGAUGCUCAGGCACUCCCGGAAGGAUGUGGAGAUGUUAGCCUGGCACUCCCGGAAGGAAGUGAAGAAGUUAACCUGAGGGAUCCUCUGACCGAGGAGCAGAUAAGACUUCUUCUGCGCCAGAAACGCGUGCCUGUAGCUGCUGAUGUCCAGUUCCUCAAGUGAUGGUGACAGCCCUGUCCUGUCCCCCUCCAGCGGCAUGAGGAGAUGAUCAUCCCUGGAUGACCCCACCUGAUCCCCUGGGAGCCCUGGGCCAUUUCCCUCUCACGAUCAAUAAACCCCUUCAGCAAAGCUA